rnacentral:rRNA from 1 species
UAGGUAGCGCCUCGUGAAUUCAUCUCCGGGGGUAGAGCACUGUUUCGGCUAGGGGGCCAUCCCGGCUUACCAACCCGAUGCAAACUGCGAAUACCGGAGAAUGUUAUCACGGGAGACACACGGCGGGUGCUAACGUCCGUCGUGAAGAGGGAAACAACCCAGACCGCCAGCUAAGGUCCCAAAGUCAUGGUUAAGUGGGAAACGAUGUGGGAAGGCCCAGACAGCCAGGAUGUUGGCUUAGAAGCAGCCAUCAUUUAAAGAAAGCGUAAUAGCUCACUGGUCGAGUCGGCCUGCGCGGAAGAUGUAACGGGGCUAAACCAUGCACCGAAGCUGCGGCAGCGACACUGUGUGUUGUUGGGUAGGGGAGCGUUCUGUAAGCCUGUGAAGGUGUGUCGUGAGGCAUGCUGGAGGUAUCAGAAGUGCGAAUGCUGACAUAAGUAACGAUAAAGCGGGUGAAAAGCCCGCUCGCCGGAAGACCAAGGGUUCCUGUCCAACGUUAAUCGGGGCAGGGUGAGUCGACCCCUAAGGCGAGGCCGAAAGGCGUAGUCGAUGGGAAACGGGUUAAUAUUCCCGUACUUGGUGUUACUGCGAAGGGGGGACGGAGAAGGCUAUGUUGGCCGGGCGACGGUUGUCCCGGUUUAAGCGUGUAGGUGUGUGUUCCAGGUAAAUCCGGUUCACUUUAACACUGAGGCGUGACGACGAGGCACUACGGUGCUGAAGCAACAAAUGCCCUGCUUCCAGGAAAAGCCUCUAAGCAUCAGGUAACAUCAAAUCGUACCCCAAACCGACACAGGUGGUCAGGUAGAGAAUACCAAGGCGCUUGAGAGAACUCGGGUGAAGGAACUAGGCAAAAUGGUGCCGUAACUUCGGGAGAAGGCACGCUGACACGUAGGUGAAGUGAUUUACUCAUGGAGCUGAAGUCAGUCGAAGAUACCAGCUGGCUGCAACUGUUUAUUAAAAACACAGCACUGUGCAAACACGAAAGUGGACGUAUACGGUGUGACGCCUGCCCGGUGCCGGAAGGUUAAUUGAUGGGGUCAGCGCAAGCGAAGCUCCUGAUCGAAGCCCCGGUAAACGGCGGCCGUAACUAUAACGGUCCUAAGGUAGCGAAAUUCCUUGUCGGGUAAGUUCCGACCUGCACGAAUGGCGUAAUGAUGGCCAGGCUGUCUCCACCCGAGACUCAGUGAAAUUGAACUCGCUGUGAAGAUGCAGUGUACCCGCGGCAAGACGGAAAGACCCCGUGAACCUUUACUAUAGCUUGACACUGAACAUUGAGCCUUGAUGUGUAGGAUAGGUGGGAGGCUUUGAAGUGUGGACGCCAGUCUGCAUGGAGCCGACCUUGAAAUACCACCCUUUAAUGUUUGAUGUUCUAACGUGGACCCGUUACCCGGGUUGCGGACAGUGUCUGGUGGGUAGUUUGACUGGGGCGGUCUCCUCCUAAAGAGUAACGGAGGAGCACGAAGGUUGGCUAAUCCUGGUC